rnacentral:lncRNA from 1 species
CAGAACUUUAAAGCAACCAAGCUGUACUUCAACAGUUUGUCCAGGUCGAGAAUCAGGGCAUGGUUUAGCUGGGCACUUCUGGCUCAAGGUCUCUCAUGAGAUUACAGUCAAGUUAUCAGCCAGGGCUGCAGUCUCAUGUGAAGAUUCAACUGGGGGCCUCCCUAACUUCAUGGACAUCAGAUGCCUUGCGGAUGAACGACGCAAACACCAUAUCGACAUCCUGCUCGACCCCAAAAUUCAGGUCCUGGAUGUCCUCUGACACAGCAGGCAAGUCCACAGCAGCCCCAGGAAGGUUCACACCCUUCUUGCUGCCCGAGGAACCACCAGUUUCCACCUCCGUCACCAGGAAGUCAGCACCUUUCUGCUUUACCUGGAGAGAAAUAAGCCCAUCAUCCACGUAGAUCUUGCUGCCCACUUCCAUCACCUUGCAGAUGUUCUUGUAGUCCAGCCACAGGAUGUUCUCGUCACACUUUUUCAUGUAGGUGUUAUCCAGCAUGAUUUUGAGAGUGGCUCCCAUCUUCAGCCCCACCUCCAUGGUGCUGCUGCCCUUGAUGAGCCCAGUUCGGAUCUCAGGUCCUUUAGUAUCCAGAGCCAAAGCAACAGGCCGGUAGAGGAUGGGGUCAGCAGCAAAGCUUUCCGUGGCUGUGCACAUGUUCUUGAUGGUCUCCACGUGGUACUCAUGAGUUCCAUGAGAGAAGUUCAGACAAGCCACAUUCGUUCCAGACUUAAUCAUCUCCUUCAACAUCUCCACCGAUUGGGAAGCUGGGCUAAUGGUACAGAUGAUGCCAGUGUUCCAGGCUGGGAUGGGUGGUGUGUGAAUGUCCAGGUGGCACAUGUGCUCCAGGAAUGUGUCAGCCGUGGCUGCAUGUAGCUGCUGGGUCUGAAUGAAGGCAGUCCCGGCUUCACUAUGGGGCUUCAACAUGGCUGCUGAGGUCCUCCAGUGCUGACCGAUUUGGGCUACACUGCAAACGCAAAGAGGUCAGGAGCCCCAGGAUGUGCAGCUGCUGUGCCCCAGGAGAGUUUUAAAUGCAGAGCAUCUAGUUGUCC